rnacentral:rRNA from 1 species
UGGGGAAUAUUGGACAAUGGGCGAAAGCCUGAUCCAGCCAUGCCGCGUGAGUGAUGAAGGCCCUAGGGUUGUAAAGCUCUUUCACCGGUGAAGAUAAUGACGGUAACCGGAGAAGAAGCCCCGGCUAACUUCGUGCCAGCAGCCGCGGUAAUACGAAGGGUGCAAGCGUUGCUCGGAAUUAUUGGGCGUAAAGGGUAGGUAGGUGGUAAUAAAAGUCUGGGGUGAAAUCCCUGAGCUCAACUCAGGACGUGCCUUGGAAACUUUAUUACUAGAGUGCUGGAGAGGUUCGCAGAAUUCCCGGUGUAGCGGUGAAAUGCGCAGAGAUCGGGAGGAAUACCAGAGGCGAAGGCGGCGAACUGGACAGCAACUGACACUCAACUACGAAAGCGUGGGUAGCAAACA